UAGGGAGCUCCCUGCUCUGCCGCCUUCUUCCCUGCAUCUCUUUCUCACACUCCCACUUCAGACUUAGAGGAUGGGGUGCUAACUGUAUCCCCACUGCCUCUACCUCCAUCACCCCACCACUGCCUCUCCGAGCUCCUGCGGUGCUGGUCAGCACCCCACUCCCACCCCAGACCACGGUCCCUGCAGGCCAAGGCACCAGUGUCUCCUGCAGGAGGGAACAGGGUGGGCUGGGGGCUUUCUUUGAGGGUACCUCCACCUGUCAAAUUUCUGGAUUCCUGAAGGAUCUUCUGCAGGUUUGUUAAAUGGUCAUAAACCCUAGAUUUUCAGAAUAGUUCUCAUUUCAAAUAUCUUGUUUUGCUGGGUUUGUAAAAUAGUGGUUUUCGAACUGUCUGUAGAGCUCUGCAGUUCUGCCAUCCAGGUUGGUGGCCGCUGGACCAGUGGGGCUCUGGGUCCUCUGUCCCCAGUUAAACCAAUGGAAGAAAAGAUCUACUGAAACAAUGGAAAACUACAGCAACAAAAUAUUCAGUGUCCCUGAAAUGACAAAAUUUCAGUGUCAAUGUCAUAUCUUCCGGUCUCUCUCCAGCAUCCAGCAACGGCACAGAAACCCUUUGUGGGCUCACUGUCCAGCUGAGACACUGUCAGCAUGUGGCAGCAUCUAAGCUGUGCCUGGAAGAAUUGACCUGAAACUCAGAACUCCUGUGGGCAAAGGGCUGAAGGAGGUCGAUGUGGCUCUGAAAGAGGAAGCCCUCGAUGGUCUUCAGCUCCAUCCCUGAGGGGAGACAAGCAUGGCCUAGGGAGCCCCACCCUCGAGUCCUAGGCUUGAGUCCCAGCGUGAAGCUCAGGCGGCUCAGCACACACGGGGCCCACAGAGAGGGCAGGAGCUUCCAGGAGCCCCUCGAGUCUGACCCACAUGCCUGCAGAUGGAACCAAGGCCUGUGAGUUCAUUCUUUUGACACCUUCACCAGAAGGCAGGGACAAAGGGACCAGGCCAUUUUACGCAAGGAGCAAACAGGAGCUGCCCCAGCCACAUGGUAAGCCAGGGGCAAGGGAGAGGUGGAGGUGAAAGAUGCCAGCGUGAAACCAGACCCCUCCAGGGGACCCCCAUGGGUUUUGUGCCCUUCACUUCUGCAGGAGCCUACUGAGGGAUGGCCAUGGGACACAGCAGCCUGGGAUCUGGAGCCAGAGUCCAGCCUCGCUGCUCUGAGCUGCAGUUUACUCGUCUACACACCAGGAUUAAAACGCCUGGGUGGCUGUCCUUACAGGAACUGCAAAACCGCGCCCAGGCCUAGGAGGGGAGGCCGGCCCACCUGGGAGCAGCUGACCUCUGCACUGUGGAUGCCCACGAUGAUGUCGGUCAGGUAGGUGCCUUGUCGAUGAACACCUGUGCUCCUCGUCAAUGAUCACCACCUGGCCCUGCAGCAGGAAAGCCGCCACCUGCUGGGUGGCCGUGUACAGCAGCACCUGCUAGGACAGCACCGCUGGCUGGGAGUAGAGAUGCGGCCACCUGAGCAGAGUGGGGCUCACCGUGCAGCAGACUGGGCUGCCCUACUCUGAGCUCCCGACAUGAACUCUUCUAUUUCCUGCAUGGACUAUGUGUAGGGACAUUCAUGAGAGAGAGCUAUAGCACCAUACUGUGCCUGGAGCAACAGACUCUUUCCUCAAAAGUUCUAUGUGCAACUACAAGUACACGGAACAUGCAAAUUGCAGCUUGUCUAGCUCCUGACUGAACCAAGGGCAGGGUGGGGGAGACUGGAACUCCUGCUACUUUGCCUCGCCUAUGCCCACAAGGUAGCCCCCAAGCUUCCUCCAAACACUAGAACACCUCUGGUGCACCAGAAAGCAGCCUUGGCUUCUGUUCCUGGGGCCUCUACUUCCCAGCUGUGUGGCUAUGGAAAAGUCAUCUCACCUCUCUGACUCUCAGUCUCCUCAUCUGCAAAAUGAGCUUGAUAUGCUCUGUCUCAUGUGAGGGUGAGGAGUAGGGGUGGGGGAACAAAAAAAACCCUGUAAAAUUUUAAGUGUAUGUUUCUCUGAAGACUUUGCAGUUAAAAAAAUACUGAUAUCCAAAAUGAAAAUUCAGGGGUAAAUGGAAAUUUAGGAUGCAGACAUUAAUACUGGCUCCAUCUCUCACUUAUGGUGAGAAAAUAGAUGAAUAACGUAACUUUUCCAGGCCCCAGGGCCCCUAUGCAUGUUAAUAGAAUGCAGCUAUUUCACUGGAAUACCAGAAAGGCAAAAUGGAGUGAAAAGUGCUUUAAAAAUUCAAGGUCAUAACAAUAUCAGGCCAUCUUACAGUAUCUGUGUGUGAUAGCUACAGCACUACACUGUUCUGAGGCAGAGAGACCAGAGGGAGAGCAAGGGACAGCUGUGGGGCCAGGCAGGUUCCUCCCCUUCCCCGUGGCACCCAUACUUGGUUAUGGUGCUGCACAAGUGAGCACAGGGCAGCCACGGACAAUGGCUACUAACACAGUUCCCUGCAGGCUUUGAAAUCUACUUAAAUCUUUUCUGGGUUACACUGAAUUCUCCACAUGUGAUAUCCAUUUCCUAAGUCCACUCAAAUUCAAGAAGUAGCAAGAAAACAUAUAAAUCAUACCUACCAAAUAACAGUAAGAUAUAGUUUUUGGCCCAUCAAAUUAGCAGCUUUUCCUUUCUGUUUAAAGAUGCAGCAGGUCAAAGAAGACAGUAUUUUCCUGUGCAGGCAGGUGUGGAAGUGUUAGGGACCGACCUUCCACAGCCCCACCGGACAGAAAAGCAGAGACAUUGAAGAUGCAAUCACA